AUGGAAGAGGAUUUGGAGGAGAGGAGAUGGGGGCCAUGGUAUAAAUUUAGAGGAUUAGGAAAAGGGUGUGCACAUGAUGGCGAAAUGAUAUGGAGUGGAGAAAUUGGAUCUGCCUUCUUUCGGGGAGGGGGGCAUCAUGGGUGGUGCAUGCCUCCUCCCCUUGAUGGUGGUGGUGAAUUGGCACUAACACUGGGACGUGAUCAGGGCGGAGCACGGGGCGCUUGGCGGGGGACUCAUUGGCGGUCCGUGGAGAAGUACAGUGUUUGA
rnacentral:rRNA from 1 species